ACGUGUGCUGUUCCGAUUUAUUGAAACCAAAUCGGAUCUGCAGACUCAGCGAAACUUUAGAACUAAGUAUGGAUGAGAUCCACCGUCACGUCCAUCAAUUCGUGCAUGGCACGAGAAAUUUAUGAAGACAGAGACAGUUCGAUAAAGG